rnacentral:rRNA from 1 species
AUUGAACGCUGGCGGAAUGCUUUACACAUGCAAGUCGAGCGGCAGCGCGGGGCAACCUGGCGGCGAGCGGCGAACGGGUGAGUAAUGCAUCGGAACAUGUCCAUUCGUGGGGGAUAGCCCGGCGAAAGCCGGAUUAAUACCGCAUACGCCCGAGAGGGGAAAGUGGGGGACCGCAAGGCCUCACGCGAUUGGGUUGGCCGAUGUCCGAUUAGCUAGUUGGCGGGGUAAAGGCCCACCAAGGCGAUGAUCGGUAGCUGGUCUGAGAGGAUGAUCAGCCACACUGGGACUGAGACACGGCCCAGACUCCUACGGGAGGCAGCAGUGGGGAAUCUUGCGCAAUGCGCGAAAGCGUGACGCAGCAACGCCGCGUGAGGGAAGACGGCCU